rnacentral:rRNA from 1 species
AGUGAACGCUGGCGGUAGGCCUAACACAUGCAAGUCGAACGGCAGCACAGUAAGAGCUUGCUCUUACGGGUGGCGAGUGGCGGACGGGUGAGGAAUACAUCGGAAUCUACUUUUUCGUGGGGGAUAACGUAGGGAAACUUACGCUAAUACCGCAUACGACCUACGGGUGAAAGCAGGGGGUCUUCGGACCUUGCGCGAUUGAAUGAGCCGAUGUCGGUUUAGCUAGUUGGCGGGGUAAAGGCCCACCAAGGCGACGAUCCGUAGCUGGUCUGAGAGGAUGAUCAGCCACACUGGAACUGAGACACGGUCCAGACUCCUACGGGAGGCAGCAGUGGGGAAUAUUGGACAAUGGGCGCAAGCCUGAUCCAGCCAUACCGCGUGGGUGAAGAAGGCCUUCGGGUUGUAAAGCCCUUUUGUUGGGAAAGAAAAGCAGCAGGUUAAUACCCCGCUGUUCUGACGGUACCCAAAGAAUAAGCACCGGCUAACUUCGUG